UAUGUUAAUUAGACGCAGCUGGUGUGUUCCAGUAUCUCCCUGGCCUCCGUUGUUUGUGGAGGCUGCCUCUAGCCUAACCCAGCUGAGGUUUGCUGCGGUCUGUGAUUCCGGCUCCUGUCCCUGUCAUUGCUGCGGUUUUUUUGGCCACCAGUGGUUAGCUUCAGCGAGGAACGCCGCAACCCACUUGUUGAACCGUAGCAUGCCUUUCUGGACCAGCCCCACUUGAUGACGUUCUUCUGGUCUAACGGCACUCUUGUCUGGCUGAUUCCUGACGUGUGGUCGUGGGGCUGAGAACCAGUUGGUGGUUCGAAAUGGGAGUCGUGCAGAUACCAGACUGGCCUGGAUGGAUGUAUUUGUACCUUCACCCCAUUCCGUAUCAAUCACUUGCUUAUAGUUAGGGUUUGCCGCUUUAAUGGCCUGAUUGUUAAACUGCAUUGACCUGGAUAGGCAGCUUAAUGCCCUGAAGAUGAGCCUUUACAUAUUUAACUUGAGUGUCAGUAGGCUACAAUAAUCAAUGUUUCUGCAACCUCUGAUUUACAACACAGGCAGCCCCAUGGUGCUUUUUCCUUUUGACAUUUUAGUUUAUGUUUUAUCAAAUAUCUUUCUAAUCAUCCAGUGCACAUGUUUGCUAUGAACUGACUUCAAUCUUCAUAUCCAUCUGCUAGAGAGCAUGAGGACCAGCAAAGUUGCUAUCACAAGUCUGCCUGAACUAACACUUGUUACCUCAUGAAUAAACUCUUUUAAUGCACAAAUUGUUUGUUUUAAUGCUGGUUUUGCUAGACGUGCAGGGAAAUGUAUUGUCUUGCAAUUCUAUUCAGGCUUGCUUCGGUUUUGAAGAUGCGAUUCUAAAUUUUUGAUCAAAUUAUCAUUGUAUAGUGUCUUUCAAAUUGUUAUUUGGUGUGUAUAUAGUAUUAACGUUGACAAUAUUUUAGACAAUCAAUCCUAAUGGAGGUUACAACUACUGUGCAAUAUCAUUUGAAUAAAGUGUCCUCCCUACAGCUUCUGCUGAUCUAA